rnacentral:lncRNA from 1 species
CGCCCCGGGACGGUGGGACCCAGCGCCUUGGAGGAAGGGGACCCGGGCAAAGCAGCAGCGCGCAGUGUCAGUCCCGGGGCGGAGACCGAGCGGGAGGAGGUGUGUGUGGGAAAAUUGUCACUGGAACUGGAGGGGAGGUAAGGAUAGUUUUCUUUGCCUUUAUUUUAACCCUGCCCCUUUUCCUGAUGAUAAAGCAGGCAUUUAUUCAUGUUGCAGAUUUUGGAAGGUUCGGAAAUGUUCAGAGCUUCUGCAGAAGGGGCAUCAUGGUCGCCGCUGGGCGGAGGCUGGGGGGCGUCCCUCUGUCUGCAGCAGAAGAGGGAAAGAAGGUCCCUUUUAGAAGGCCCUGCCAGGCCACCUGUGGGCCCUUCAGGAAUUGGGGGUGGAGCGGGCCGAGGUCCUGGAGGUCUGAGAAGUCCGUUUCCCUUCCUCCUCCUCCCGACUAGUCCUUCUCUGCUUCCUCCUCCUCCCCUUCCUCUUCCCCCCCCCCCAGGUCUGGUUCAAGAACCGAAGGGCCAAGUGGAGACACCAGAAGCGUGCCUCAGCCUCUGCAAGGCUCCUGGCAGGGCCCAAGAAACCUCCCAAGGAGCGCAGCUGAUGAUGCUGGGAGCUACUCCUGGCCUUGGCGUUGACCUUUGGGGCCUGCACAGAGAGAGGACAGACCUGCAGGAACAGAAGCUAAGGGGGCGCUGCAGCCUUUUCCAUCACUCUCCACAGUUUCUUGCCACCUGGAACUGGUGCUGGGGUGAUGUAACUAGUGUCUGUCUGCUCCACUGGACUGUCGGCUCUCUGAAGGCAGGAACGUCACCGUGGAUGUCAUGUAGUCCCCUGAGGAUCCCAAUGGAUGAAGGAAUAACUGCAUAUUGUAAAAGCAAAAUUGUACUGGGGCAGGAUUUGUUUGUUUGACAUAGUUUGCAACCUCUUUUGGGGAAGAAAUUCCUGAAAAAUGCUUAGACAGUGUUCUGUCCCAUUUCAGUGAGAAUUGGCUCUAUUCUGUGAAGUUCAGUCUGGCAUUUAGGAGCCUAAUAAUCUCUAAUUAGACAUUUCUUUAUUAAACUACUAUCUUGUUCUUUUCAAUUAUCUUUUGUUAGAUAACUGUCAAGAAUUGUCUUAGGAUUCUCUUCUUGCAUAAAGUUUGGUACGUGUAUAUAAACAGAUUUUUGGAGUGUUUUUUUAAAUAAUUUAAGCACAUGUUGUGAUUAUUUCGGAGAAAUUGAAAUUUCAAGGCCUUUAGAUUUUCCCCAGUGCUGAAACUUGACAUUACCUUG